AGAUUUUGGAGGAAACGAAAAUUGAACUUGGACAACCGUAAAAGGCCAAAAAGGUACCGAAGUUUGACUUGCUGAUCCGCCGGUUUAGGACAUCUGCUGUGUUAUUGAAAGUGCUCCUUUGUUCGGAGCUUGUAUUUUGGUACUGACUCUAUCUCUGUAUAUUUGGAUAUGUUGGUCAGGGGUACGACGGGGCCCUGUCCCGUCUUAUGACUAUGCUAUCAUCUGUAGAGGUCUGUAGACAGAGUUAUGUUGUGGGUUUUGUAUAUAUGGUUUGGAUUUUUGUGUGUUUUGUGACAACCUUUCAACUCUCGUGCGUAUAUCUACUUUUAUGAUAUAUUUAGCAAUUUCUACUAA